rnacentral:sRNA from 1 species
AGAAGAGCGGGCUGAGAGGCCGGAGGAGGUGGCGGCCGCUGGGAGAGGCGAGGGAUCUGUCAGAUUUUAGCAUCGAAACUAGGAGAAAUAGGAAUGGCUGUAGAGGAACUUCAGUCUAUAAUAAAGAGAUGUGUAAGUAUUUUUUUAAUUUUUGUAAAAUUAAAUACCUUUCAAAAUAUGGGAAGGGCACAGAUUGUUUUUAAUUAUAUUUGUGGUCACUCAAAUUGUUUAUCUUCUUUAAUCCUUGCUUUUUUUGACCUGUAAAGAGCAUGAGUGGGGGAGGCAGAUUGGAUUAUUUCUCCAGGUGACAUACUUAUCUAAAUAACCUUUUACAUUUUAAUCCUGAUCCUUUUCAUAGAUUUCACUGGUACAGUAGAUUUCAAGGUCACUUAUUAAAGUAUUUAUUAGGGUAAUCCUAAUUUUGAUACAUGUGUUAUUUACGUUACAUUUAUCUAGAAUUUAAAUAGAUUUCCUUUUUUCAUAGAUAAAUCAAGAAGUUAUUGUAUUUAAUUUUCAUUUACAUAUACUUUUUUUGUUGUUUUUUGGUUUUUUUUUUUUUGUCAGCAAAUCCUA